rnacentral:rRNA from 1 species
UACGUAGGGUGCGAGCGUUGUCCGGAAUUACUGGGCGUAAAGAGCUCGUAGGUGGUUUGUCGCGUUGUCCGUGAAAACUCACAACUCAAUUGUGGGCGUGCGGGCGAUACGGCAGACUGGAGUACUGCAGGGGAGACUGGAAUUCCUGGUGUAGCGGUGGAAUGCGCAGAUAUCAGGAGGAACACCGGUGGCGAAGGCGGGUCUCUGGGCAGUAACUGACGCUGAGGAGCGAAAGCGUGGGGAGCAAACAGG